AGUUCCAUAGUUUAGUAGUUAGAGCGUUGGAAUAUUAUUUUUAACUAUCCGUCUACUAUCUCUUAAAUAUAUUUAAAAGUAUAAUUAACGGAUUACCUCUAGAUAAUAUACCCAAAGGUCGUAGGUUCAAAUUUUACUGGGACUA
rnacentral:tRNA from 1 species